rnacentral:tRNA from 1 species
GCGGGUGUAGUUCAACGGUAGAACCUGAGGUUUCCAACCUCAUGGUGUGGGUUCGAUUCCCAUCACCCGCUCCA